GAUUUCAUCAUAUUUUUAAUUGAAUGGCUGCAAAAUACAAACUUACAAACUGCCAAAAUGGCAUAUAUAAAAAUAAUAGAUAUAUAAAUAUACAUAAACCAUUUCUUCAGGCAGAGAUCCAGAGGGUACAUCUUCAUAAAUUAGUGCUACAUUGGGAAAGAAAAGCACAUUUGUGGCAGAUUUAUGCAUAACACGAGAGAACGGAAGCAGCACUGUGCUGUGAAAGACCUAUAUGAGCUGACCUCCUUGUCUCCUUGUUCAUCUUCUCACAUUCUCUCAGCAGAAACACUAUAUAUCUGCAUAUGACUUGUUUCUUUAAGAUAGUUUACAUGAUGGAAGUGGAUAGGUCACAUAUUCUGCAUGUAUUUUUUUACGUAUCAGGUAUUUAUGCCAGUCAGUCUGCAUUAUGAAUAAAUUACAGUUAUAUAUAUAUAUAUAUAUAUAUAUAUAUAUAUAUAUAUAUAUAUACAAAAAAACAGCCAAGUACAUUUGAAAAUGACUGCUACCGCUGAACUGCAAUGUAAUGUGUAUUAAUAAGUACUUACUGUUAUAUCCAGAAGUUAUGCCAUAUGCCAUAGAGACAUAUGAAAAGUUUUGCUUGUCGGGGUCUUAGUGUUUAGACCCUGACCAAUUAGUAGAACUAGCCAUGAGAAGUGAGCAUUCCGGCCCUGUGUCAUUUGACUGAGACUGUCUUAUAAUGUAAGUCUAUGGGACCUUUCCUAUAGACCCUGACUGAUAAAAACUCUUCAAAAGUUUUUAUUUUUAUUUUAUAAUAAUAGCUAUAUUUAAAUUUUAGAGGUUUAACAAAAAAUAUUGCAUUAAUAAUUUGGGAAUUACAGUUUCUUUAUAGUCUGCCCAUUUUCACAGGCUUAAAAGUAAGUAGAAAUAAUCUAAUAUGAAUUAGUUGUCCGGUGUGACAAGUUACUUUCUAAUUCAUUGUAAAUUAAAGGGGUACUCUGGCACUCAGAAUAGACCACCAAUAUCUGAUUGGAUGGAGUCCAAGACCUGGUACCUCCAUUGAUCAGCUGUUCAGCAAAGCCGCUGCACCCAGAUAUACACUGUGAGGAGAACUGGAUACAUAGGAAUUGAAAACUCAGCAACUCACUGGCCAUAAAUAUAGAUGUUACAUCACAGCACUACUCAGGCAAUCACUGUCUGCAGCGGUAUCCCCGUCUUGGCUAUUAAUUUGUGAGUUGCACUGUCAGUUCCCCUGGCUGUAGACGCUAUGCUCUGCGGCUCAGGAGAAAGCAGAGUCACCAGCCACGGACAGGGUGCCCUUAUACUGGAGCUAUGAGGAAGAGGAGGGUGGGUUAAAGUUUUUGUUAUGUUAUUAGCCAGUCAGGGGGCAAUUAAGAAAUAAUUAAUUUCAUCGGAUAACCCCUUAAAGUGGACAUUUCUUCCAUGUUAGGUUGGGGACCAGAAAUUGGAGAUGAGUGGAGACCCAGUGAGCAUUGGAAUAGCAGCAGAAAAGGAAUAGGCAGAUUUGAGGGAAUACCGGCUGCAGUAUCGGGGGUAACCUCUUGACCAGGAUCUGGAGCACUAGAGAUGAUUGGGGAAGGAGGAGCGGAGAAGGGAGCAGAAUGUGUUGAUGGACACAAAGUGUUCAACAAAUAAAUGGAUUAACACCCGGAAUAUAGCACAA